rnacentral:rRNA from 1 species
UACGGAGGAUGCGAGCGUUAUCCGGAUUUAUUGGGUUUAAAGGGUGCGUAGGCGGACUGUCAAGUCAGCGGUAAAAUUGAGAGGCUCAACCUCUUCCCGCCGUUGAAACUGGUGGUCUUGAGUGGAUGAGAAGUACGCGGAAUGCGUGGUGUAGCGGUGAAAUGCAUAGAUAUCACGCAGAACUCCGAUUGCGAAGGCAGCGUACCGGCAUCCAACUGACGCUGAGGCACUAAAGCGUGGGGAUCAAACAGG